GACGAACGCUGGCGGCGUGCCUAAUACAUGCAAGUCGAACGCAGGGGGGACGGGUGAGUAACACGUGGGUAACCUCCCAUCAGAGGGGAUAACACUUGGAUACAGGUGCUAAACCGAUACUGAUGGAUGGACCCGCGGUGCAUUAGCUAGUUGGUGAGGUAACGGCUUACAAAGGCCACGAUGCAUAGCCGGCCGGAGAGGGUGAUCAGCCACACUGGGACUGAGACACGGCCCAGAAUCAUACGUGAGGCAGCAGUAGGGAAUCUUCGGCAAGGGACGAAAGUCUGAACGAGCAACGUCGCGUAAGUGAAGAAGGUUUUCGGAUCGUAAAUCGCUGUUGUUGGAGAUGCGGUAUCUAACCAGAAAGCCACGGCUAACUACGUGCCAGCAGCCGCGGUAAUAC
rnacentral:rRNA from 1 species